GUGGUUCAGUGGUAGAAUUCCUGCCUCUCGUGCAGGAGACGUGGGUUCGAUUCCCAGCC
rnacentral:tRNA from 1 species